rnacentral:rRNA from 1 species
GAUAGCUCAACGUAUUAGGCUUCGGGGGAUACUGCCAGACUGGAACCGGGAGAGGUAAGAGGUACUACAGGGGUAGGGAGUGAAAUCUUGUAAUCCCUGUGGGACCACCUGUGGCGAAGGCGUCUACCAGAACGGGCUCGACGGUGAGGGACGAAAGCUGGGGGCACGAACCGGAUUAGAUACCCGGGUAGUCCCAGCCGUAAACGAUGCUCGCUAGGUGUCAGGCAUGGCGCGACCGUGUCUGGUGCCGCAGGGAAGCCGUGAAGCGAGCCACCUGGGAAGUACGGCCGCAAGGCUGAAACUUAAAGGAAUUGGCGGGGGAGCACAACAACGGGUGGAAGCCUGCGGUUUAAUUGGACUCAACGCCGGACAACUCACCGGGGGCGACAGCAAUAUGUAGGCCAAGCUGAAGACUUUGCCUGAAUCGCUGAGUAGUGGUGCAUGG